rnacentral:rRNA from 1 species
UACGGAGGAUGCAAGCGUUAUCCGGAAUGAUUGGGCGUAAAGCGUCCGCAGGUGGCGAUGUAAGUCUGCUGUUAAAGAGUGAGGCUCAACCUCAUAAGAGCAGUGGAAACUACAUAGCUAGAGUGCGGUAGGGGCAGAGGGAAUUCCUGGUGUAGCGGUGAAAUGCGUAGAGAUCAGGGAAGAACACCUAUGGCGAAGGCAGCUCUCUGGGACGGUACUGACGCUGAGACGCGAAAGCGUGGGGAGCGAACAGG